GAAAGACAUGAAAAGAUAUUUAACAUCAUUAAUUAUCAGAAAAAUAAAAAGUGAAACCACAAUGAGAUAUCACAUUACAGUCACUGAACAUAACGUGAAGUCGCUCAGUCUUGGACACGAUUUUGCAACUAAACUACCACCAACACUACCCCUCUUCUUAGGUAACAGGGUUAAUCAUAAACAGUAUUUUCCAAGAAAAUUCUCCAUGUGUAUAAGUUGCCCCAUGGGCUCAUCAUAAGUCCUCUAACCAUUGUGCCAGCCUGCUUCUCAGAGCCUGAUCCCAAGGGAACCAGUCUCCUGACUCAGAAACUGUCACAGUCUAAAAUUCACUAACCUAUUCAAACCACCUGUCUGCAGGAAUGGAAAACUCAGAUUCAGAGAGGGGAAGAGUCUUGUCCAAGGCCACACAGGUUAUUUUCAUUCAACCAACAGAGAUGUCAAGUAAACAUGUGUAGUGUGACAAGUACAGUGAAUCCCUUAGUUAUGGAUGCAUUCUCUUCCAAAAGUGUGUUCAUAAGGGCAGUUUGUUCAUAGGUCCAACAAAGUUAGCCCAGGUACCCAACUAACACAAUCGGCUAACACUAACUAGUUAACUAAUUGGCUAACUAACACCAUAUGGUAUACUACUGUAGUAGGUUUGUAAUGCUUUCACACAAGUAAUACAUAAAAAAACAAGCAAUCGCAAAAAAAGUAAAGAAAACAUUUUUAAUCUUACCGUACUUUGAAAAGUGCAGUAGCACAGUACAACAUCUGGCUUACAGGGGCUGGCAUCAAGUGAACAGGCAAGAAGAGCUACCGAUUGGAGGCGGUGGGAGAUGGGAGAGCUGAAGGAUUGUCAGCAACAGAGAUGGAGGGCAAGCUGCAAUUUCGCUUGUGCCUGACGUUGAUGAAACCCAUAUUUGCAUCCUUGAAAGUUCACAAUUUGAAGGUCUGUAUGUGGAGGACUUAGUGUAUAUACCUUGUUUUGGACACACUCUGGAGCUCCAGGAAAAUGAGAAUUGGUCAGAGUCUAAGGUGCCAGCCUUCCUUCUUGGGUCCCUUCCUCCUUUUCACAGCGACUCAAAGGAAGAGAAGCAGAAAGGGUGUCUCUGUAAGAAGACCAGGAGGAGCUUGGAGUGGAUUAAACUGAAGAUAAUUCAGUAAAUUCCCUAAGUCAUUUCUAUGAUGGGCUGCCUGGGAUUUACUAACCUUCAUGCGUCCCUGG
ensembl:lncRNA